rnacentral:rRNA from 1 species
UUGACCUCGGAUCAGGUAGGGAUACCCGCUGAACUUAAGCAUAUCAAUAAGCGGAGGAAAAGAAACCAACAGGGAUUGCCUUAGUAACGGCGAGUGAAGCGGCAC